UAGGGAAUAUUGGGCAAUGGAUGCAAGUCUGACCCAGCCAUGCCGCGUGCCGGAUGAAGGCCCUCAGGGUUGUAAACGGCUUUUAUUCGGGAAGAAGAGCAGGGAUGCGUCCUUGUGUGACGGUACCGAAUGAAUAAGACCGGCUAACUCCGUGCCAGCAGCCGCGGUAAUACGGAGGGUGCGAGCGUUGUCCGGAUUUAUUGGGUUUAAAGGGUGCGUAGGUGGCCUAUUAAGUCAGUGGUGAAAUACAGCCGCUUAACGGUUGAGGUGCCAUUGAUACUGAUGGGCUUGAAAUAAUUGGAGGCUGCCGGAAUGGAUGGUGUAGCGGUGAAAUGCAUAGAUAUCAUCCAGAACACCGAUUGCGAAGGCAGGUGGCUACGAUUGGUUUGACACUGAGGCACGAAAAGCAUGGGGAGCAAACAGGAUUAGAUACCCUGGUAGUCCAUGCUGUAAACGAUGAGGACUCGCUGUUGGUACGCAGGUAUCAGCGGCUUAGGGAAACCGUUAAGUCCUCCACCUGGGGAGUACGCCGGCAACGGUGAAACUCAAAUGAAUUGACGGGGUCAUAGCUGUUU
rnacentral:rRNA from 1 species